GUGCUUGCAUCGACAGCUCAUGUAUUAGAAUUGCAAUGAUACAGAGCAGGUUAGCAUGACCUCUGUGCAAGGAUGACAUGCAAAUCUGUGAAGUGUUCCGUAUUUUA